rnacentral:misc_RNA from 1 species
AGGACUGUUGCUAAUAUUGAAACGUCGUCAUCUCUUUGUAUGGUUGAACGUCUGUCUUUAUCAUGAUUGUUGUGUUCGGGUGUACAAAGGUUAUUGUAUUUUACAGUAAUUCAAAAUAUCUUUGUUUUAUUGACAGAAAUUAUAUGAUUUCAGUUUUAUUUUAAAAAAAGAAAGAAAUGUAUGUUUCCCUUGCUACAAUAAAUUCCGUCACUGUUGCUUUUGAUAGACUGUAUUUUGUUGUUUGUUGAUGACGAGACGGUAUGGAGAAGUCUCAUUGGCUUUAAUAUGAUGUGUUGAUUUGUAAUCCACAGACAAAUACCUUGUUUAUGACAACAAGAAACUAUAAUUUGUGUGGGGUACUUUCUUUUCGCUUACAAUGAGAUUUCAAAAAAGAAUAUCUGUAACGGGGAAGCAGACUAUUAAAACAUCAUUGUUGUUUC